rnacentral:pre_miRNA from 1 species
AACCACACUAUCGAUAAAUGGAUUCACCCGUGAGAUGACGUGGUUGUUCCAUCUAGGAUGAGGACGUGGCAUCCUGUUAAUUUUGUGUGAUGGCUGGUAAUAUGAUGCCAUGUCCUCGUCCUAUGUGAAAUAACCACAUCAUCUCGCAAGUAAAUCCAUUCAUCGAUAGUGUGGUU